rnacentral:tRNA from 3 species
GGUGAUGUAGCUCAGCUGGUAGAGCAUCGGACUGAAAAUCCGUGAGUCGGUGGUUCGAGCCCACUCAUCACCA